AGUGAACGCUGGCGGUAGGCCUAACACAUGCAAGUCGAACGGCAGCACAGUAAGAGCUUGCUCUUACGGGUGGCGAGUGGCGGACGGGUGAGGAAUACAUCGGAAUCUACUUUUUCGUGGGGGAUAACGUAGGGAAACUUACGCUAAUACCGCAUACGACCUACGGGUGAAAGCAGGGGAUCUUCGGACCUUGCGCGAUUGAAUGAGCCGAUGUCGGAUUAGCUAGUUGGCGGGGUAAAGGCCCACCAAGGCGACGAUCCGUAGCUGAUCUGAGAGGAUGAUCAGCCACACUGGCACUGAGACACGGUCGCGACUCCUCCGGGAGGCCGCAGUGCGGAACAUUGGGCAAGGGGCGCAAGCCUGACCCAGCCAUACCGCGCCCGUUACGCAGGCCUUCGGGCUGUAAAGCCCUUUUCUUGGGCAAGAAAAGCUGCCGGUCAAUACCCCGCUGUUCUGACGGUACCCAAAGAGUAAGCCCCGGCUACCUUCGUG
rnacentral:rRNA from 1 species